UUUAAAUGAAAACAACUCUCUCGGCUUCUAGCUUCAGAAUUUGAGUAAAAAAGAACUUGGCAGUAAAAGUGAAAAGACUUCGUAUACGCUCUCUCGCUUGCAGCCAAAAAAUGGAUGGGCAGGAUGGCAGGGUCAGACAAUUCCCUGGUACGGCAGGAUCUGGUAUCCUGGUAUCCUGGUGUUUUGCGGCAACCUCAGACUCAUGAGCUAUAUGCUGUCACUGCUAAUGUUAGUGGGUUUGCCCUCCGGCAUUUCAAUUAAGAAAUAUUGUUUAAACAUAUGCUGAUGCUGAUGCUACAGAUACUGAUGAUGAUGCAACUUUAGUGCUAAGCUGAUUAGAACUGCAAGUGGAUUCACUCUGGGAGCCACAGCUGCGGAACUUAUUGCUCAUCCGCCCUGCGGUUCGGUCAACCGCUCACAGACUUCAAUGUUAAUUAACUUGUUUUUAAUCCAAUUAAUAUGCACAGCACAAGACCAUUGAGUCUUGGACUCUAAUUAAAACUUUUGAUCCAUCCCAGAGAAUUUCAUUGCUAAGAACCGUAGGGCCAGAAACACACAUAACUACCUUUCUUACUCCCCUCACAUAUUAUAAAAGUCUUGCGGCUAAAAAAAGUUAUCGUGUUGUAUUUUGUCUAUUAUUAUGCUAAAAAGGAUGGACUUAA